AUUCGCAGUCAUUAAAUUUUGUUUUUUUUUUUUGUUUUAGAUCUGAAUUUUUAUUUAAUGGUUAGUGAAACAAGAUUAAUGUGAAGAGGGGUUUAGGUGGUGACUGCCAUAAGGGGCGCAUUAAGUAGCUAACUUUCUUGGCCGUGUAGGUAUAUUCCGGUCACAGUUGUUUGAACUAAAAUGAAUAAAACUAUGAAUGUUGUUACUUCUACCUGGCUACCAAACCCGCCCGCGUUACUGAGGCGGUGGCGGUGGUGUACCCUAAGCGGGCGUCAACCUGCACACACUUACCCAAGGGGCGCCCCCUCCACCCUAGCUAAACCUCGAAUCGUACAUCAGAUUCUUGACACUAAUUCAAUUUUUUGAGCUUUUCUUUCAAAAUGUUGAGGCCAUGAUCCCUAGGUGAGCCAUAUAAAUGAGUUGUUCCAUUGAGGCUAUGAUGCGUCGCUCAUGUGCAACCUCCAACAAUACUCUUUCAGCCAUUGUAAAGUCUGCGGGUGGAAAUGUGAUUCAGAAACUAGAGAAAGUAAUGGAUCCAACAAGAAGCAUAUAUGUGGCAAGUGAAGAAAACAUGGAAAGAGCACUGUCAACAACUUAAAAGAAAGCAAUACUCAACGAUGUCAGGUGAGGUUCAUCGACUGCUUUUUCGUACCUACGGUUUUCCCGACGCAAUGGUAAAAACCUAGUUUGCUUUAAUAUGUUAUUAUACUAUACAUACAUAUAUUAUAUAAGCACACCACUACACUUAUAUUAUAAGCACACCACUUAUAUGAUUGGCUUUAGUUUUUAAUACUACUUCAACUAAAUCAUCUUGAUGUAUGUAAUUUUGCAUGAACCGUAUGGUUGUGCUUAUGUUAGUGAAGAAUUUUCAUGCGUUAAGAAGGAGACAACAAUAGAGUACUACACAAGCCCUUUGUGUAUGAGCCUUCCUCGUGAUGUCGUUUACAUGGCAGCAAAAAAGUACUAUUUUGGAGUUGGAGGAUGAUCAAGACGUUUCGUAUCAUUGGUUGAGAUAGAUGGAAAAAGGAAAAAGGCGAUAAAGAUGAUGGUUUCUUGAUGUUCACGACAACUCAAGCGUCCAAAGAAUUCACGAAGAAUGAUCCACUUUCGCGGCAACCUUUAUUUUCCAGUGACGAGAACACAAAGGAAUCAAAGGGUUAAAAUGAAAGAAGUGGAGCUUUGACGAUGAGUGCACAUAUAGUCGAUGAUGGACUACUUUCAAAGGAGGCUUCUAGAAGACUAGAGUGUCGACUAAUGUAUCGACAAACAAUUCUUUUUUUGUUAACGUUAAAAUAUUUGUAGUAUACUUGACACAUGAUUAUGUAAUGGAUUGUUUUGGUAUA